rnacentral:sRNA from 1 species
GGCUGGAGGCCCUGGAUCGCCCAUUCCCUCUCUCUAUCUGCCUCUUUCUCUCUGCCUGUUGCUCUCAAAUAAAUAAAUAAAUAAUUCAAAAAGAACAACAAAAAUUUUUUUUAACAAUGUUUGGUCAAAGAGGACAACCUUCUCCAAAUGGAGCAGGACUGGUCUCGGUCAAGAGUAUAGAGUACCUGCACUACCUUCCUAGAACCUCCAAACAAGCUCUCAAAUAAAUAAGUUGAGUAUGGCCAGGUGAGGUGGUGACACAUGCCUUUAAUUCCAGUACUGGGGAAGCCAAG